rnacentral:rRNA from 1 species
GACGAACGCUGGCGGCGUGCUUAACACAUGCAAGUCGAACGGUGAAGGUGGAGCUUGCUCCGCCGGAUCAGUGGCGAACGGGUGAGUAACACGUGGGCAACCUGCCCCUCACUUCGGGAUAACUCCGGGAAACCGGGGCUAAUACCGGAUACGACCUCCUUGGGCAUCCUUGGAGGUGGAAAGUUUUUCGGUGAGGGAUGGGCCCGCGGCCUAUCAGCUUGUUGGUGAGGUAGUGGCUCACCAAGGCGACGACGGGUAGCCGGCCUGAGAGGGCGACCGGCCACACUGGGACUGAGACACGGCCCAGACUCCUACGGGAGGCAGCAGUGAGGAAUAUUGCGCAAUGGGCGAAAGCCUGACGCAGCAACGCCGCGUGCGGGAUGAAGGCCUUCGGGUUGUAAACCGCUUUCAGCAGGGAAGAAGCCGCAAGGUGACGGUACCUGCAGAAGAAGCACCGGCUAACUACGUGCCAGCCGCCGCUGUAA